rnacentral:ncRNA from 1 species
UAAAAAGCAAUGAUAGGAACAACAGUCAUUUCAACCGGUUGUACAGAGAGGGAGGUUGCUGAAAACUCCUCAACAAGGGAAAUGAUUAACCAUCCUUAAGCUGAGCUAGUGAACAGAGGUGUAGCUAGCAACCGUACACGCUGCGUUAAAGCGCUAGAGCCAACAAACGGAUGUUUGUUGGGAAUCUGGGUGGAACCACGGGUAAAACGCACUCGUCCCUAUA